rnacentral:rRNA from 1 species
GACGUAGGGCGCAAGCGUUGUCCGGAUUUAUUGGGCGUAAAGAGCUCGUAGGCGGCCUGUCGCGUCGACCGUGAAAACCCGCAGCUCAACUGCGGGCUUGCGGUCGAUACGGGCAGGCUGGAGUUCGGUAGGGGAGGCUGGAAUUCCUGGUGUAGCGGUGAAAUGCGCAGAUAUCAGGAGGAACACCGGUGGCGAAGGCGGGUCUCUGGGCCGAUACUGACGCUGAGGAGCGAAAGCGUGGGGAGCGAACAGG